GUCUUUCAAGAGGGAAGGAGACGAUUGGAGUCAACUCAAUGUGCUCAAAGUAAGCGUGAGCGGAGAGGAUCUGGAGCCGCUUCAGUCGCUCCCUGAAGAAAAGAAGAGUCGGGGACCUCCUAGCCAGUUACAUUCCAGAGGAUGAGGCGCUGAUGCUUCGGGAUGGACGCUUUGCUUGUGCCAUCUGCCCCCAUCGACCGGUACUGGACACCCUGGCCAUGCUGACUGCCCACCGUGCAGGCAAGAAACAUCUGUCCAGUAACUUUUCUAUGGCAAGAAGCAGCCGGGAAAGGAAAGAAAGCAGAAUCCAAAACAUCAGAAUGAAUUGAGAAGGGAAGAAACCAAAGCUGAGGCUCCUCUGCUAACUCAGACACGACUUAUCACCCAGAGUGCUCUGCACAGAGCUCCCCACUAUAACAGUUGCUGCCGCCGGAAGUACAGAAGCCCCUGGUCCCUCUGUCUCCCUUUCCCCUAUGCCACCCUCAGAGGUCAAACUCCAAAGUGGGAAGAUCAGUAGGGAACCUGAACCUGCGGCUGGCCCACAGGCCGAGGAGUCAGCAACUGUCUCAGCCCCUGCACCCAUGAGCCCCACAAGAAGACGAGCCCUGGACCAUUAUCUCACCCUUCGAAGCUCUGGAUGGAUCCCAGAUGGACGAGGUCGAUGGGUAAAAGAUGAAAAUGUUGAGUUUGACUCUGAUGAGGAGGAACCACCUGAUCUCCCCUUGGACUGAUACCCUUUUCCCAUUCAUUCACAAAUAAAUUACAAUGGGUGCUGAG
rnacentral:lncRNA from 1 species